GAUGAACGCUGGCGGCGUGCCUAAUACAUGCAAGUCGAGCGAACAGACGAGAGUGCUUGCACUCUCUGACGUUAGCGGCGGACGGGUGAGUCACACGUGGGUAACCUACCUAUAAGACUGGGAUAACUUCGGGAAACCGGAGCUAAUACCGGAUAAUAUUUAGCUUCGCAUGAAGCAAUAGAGAAAGACGGUUCUGCUGUCACUUAUAGAUGGACCCGCGGUGUAGUAGCUAGUUGGUGAGGUAACGGCGCACCAAGGCAACGAGACAUAGCCGACUGGAGAGUGGGGCAGGCGACACUGGAACUGAGCCCGGGCCAAGAGGCCGACGGGAGGCCGCAGGAGGGAAGCUUGCGGAAAGGGCGAAAGCCGGACGGAGCAAUGCCGCGUGAGGGAGGAAGGUAUUCGGAUCGUAAAACUCUGUGACUAGGGAAGAACAAAUGUGUAAGUAACUGGGCAUAUCGUGACGGGAACUAAUCAGAAAGCCACGGCUAACUACGUG
rnacentral:rRNA from 1 species